rnacentral:rRNA from 1 species
AUGGCUAAGCGCCACCGGGAUCGGACCGGCCAUGCACACCGGGGUUGGCAGGCGAUGAUGGCGGCGCGUCGGCCUGCUAACCUGACAAAAAGGGCGGCGCCGCGCCGGAGGGUGACGGUGGUUCCUUCUUCCCAAAACAUGUUACGCCGACGCUGGAAUGGUGCAGUUCGGUGGCUGCUCAGCGCCACAGCUGCUCCCUGCUGCCCGGCCUGUGGUGGUUCUGCCGCUGGACGCCUCCCAGCCCCGGCGCCGGCGGGAAUCCUGAUGAUGCUGCUGCUGCUGCCUCGGCGGUGUACGGCUGCCAACGAUCGACGCCGGCGCCGGUGGGCCACCCGAGCAUGUGUGGCUCUGCUCUGCCGCCUCCGCCGAUCUGGCCCUGUUCAACGGUCACGAGACAUGAUGCUCUGGGCUGGUCAGUGUGUGGUUUCAGUCAGGCGAUCAUUGGUCACAGGUUUACUACUGUAUCACAUACCAUCUGGAGCAUGCUGCUGCGCGGGAUGGUGGGGCGGUGAUCGCCGUCCGGGCACCUCAGCGCCGGUGUUAUCGACGUCGGCGAUGGCCUCAUCCAGAUGCUCCUGUUCCUGCCGGGGCGCCACGGAGCCGCCGCCUCCUCCUCCUCCGGCAUCUCAAACUGACGCCGACAGCACCGAAUGA